CUUUAACCUUCAAAUAUAGGACUCAAGAAAAGCAUACAAAGGCUGACCUGUGUGAACUUCCAGAAGAUGCUAAAUAAAAUUUGAGCAUAGAGCUAUGGUA